UAGCGUGGAUUAGGCAUGCAAGUCGAACGGGAUCAGCCGGAUAGCAAUAUUCGGCUGUGAGAGUGGCGGAUGGGGAGGAGCACGUGAGCAACCUGCCCUGGGGACGGGGAAAACCUCGGGAAACUGAGGCUAAUACCGGAUGCGGCGCCCGGAGACAUCUUCGGAGCGCCAAAGGGGGCCGCAAGGCUCCCGCCCUGGAGGGGCUCGCGCACCAUCAGCUAGUUGGCGGGUAACGGCCCACCAAGGCUCACGGUUAGCUGGUCUGAGAGGAUGACCAGCCCCACUGGGACUGAGAUACUGCCCAGACUCCUACGGGAGGCUGCAGUCGAGGAUCAUUCGCAAUGGGCGAAAGCCUGACGAUGCGACGCUGCGUGGAAGGAUGAAGGCCUUCGGGUUGUAAACUCCUGUCAUGGGGGAACAGGCGAGGGGAGUUAACACCUCCCUUAGUUGAGUGUACCCCAAGAGGAAUUGGCGGCUAACUCUGUGCCAGCCGCUGC
rnacentral:rRNA from 1 species